rnacentral:lncRNA from 1 species
GCAAAUCUGUCACUCAGUGAUACGAUAUGGAGCAAUUCUUAUGUAUCAAAGAGGCCUGAUGAGAGGAAGAAUUUUGAUAUAAGAGUUGGAGGUGAAGUGAAUUCUGGUAUUAGUUCUAAGUCAAAAGAGUCUGAUUUGAACAAUGAUGGGUGGAAGAUAGCAUCUAAUGGUGGAGCUACCACCGAUUUGAAUGGAUUAAAUGAUGGGUGGAAGAUGUCAUCUAGCGGUGGAGCUACUACCGAUUUGAAUGGAUUAAAUGAUGGGUGGAAGAUGUCAUCUAGCGGUGGAGCUACUACCGAUUUGAAUGGAUUUAACGAUGGGUGGAAGAUAGGAUCUGGUGUUAACAGUUAUGGACUUGGUCCUAUUGGAAGUAUUGGUCGAGCUGUUGGCGGUGGAUCCCAGAAAAAUGUUGGGAUCAAUGGUGGGUUUAAUAAGGGGAUUUAUUCAAAGAGCAAUUAUAACAACAACAUCAAUGUUCAUGUGAAGGGCAAGAACAAGGGAGAGGACGAUCAUGGAGGCAAAAUUGUGAAGAAGAAUAGUAACAAGAAGAGCAAUGGUGAUAAUAAC